GGUGCAGGCUUUUGGGGGCCCCUCCUCCCCCUUCUCUCCCCCCCCAUCUCCUCUGGUGUUUCCACCUCCAUCCCUUCUCUCAGCAAUGAUCAUCCUAACCAAAGUUACCAGGAUUCUCUGUUCUUUGGCAGCUGCUCUGAGCUACAGCUCAGAGGAAGAGUAUCUCCCCUAGUAUUUUCCAUUAAAGCCAGUGCUUCACAUAGAAACAAAAAGAUGGAAGGAGUUAGUGCCAUCUUUUGCUGCAGUUCCAAAGAUUGCCAUAGUGGGGAUGGAGGAGAGGACAGGAUGAUGUCAACAAAAUCUCCCGGGAAGAUCUGAC
rnacentral:lncRNA from 1 species